rfam:Burkholderia glumae BGR1 chromosome 1, complete sequence.
GGUCAAGCGAACAAGUGCAUGUGGUGGAUGCCUUGGCGAUCACAGGCGAUGAAGGACGCGGUAGCCUGCGAAAAGCUACGGGGAGCUGGCAAACGAGCUUUGAUCCGUAGAUGUCCGAAUGGGGAAACCCACUCCUUUUGGAGUAUCCAUGACUGAAUACAUAGGUCAUGUGAAGCGAACGCGGUGAACUGAAACAUCUAAGUAACCGCAGGAAAAGAAAUCAACCGAGAUUCCCAAAGUAGUGGCGAGCGAAAUGGGAAGAGCCUGUACUCUUUAUUUGUAUUGUUAGCCGAACGCUCUGGAAAGUGCGGCCAUAGCAGGUGAUAGCCCUGUAGGCGAAAACAGUAUGAAAGAACUAGGUGUACGACAAGUAGGGCGGGACACGUGAAAUCCUGUCUGAAGAUGGGGGGACCAUCCUCCAAGGCUAAAUACUCGUGAUCGACCGAUAGUGAACCAGUACCGUGAGGGAAAGGUGAAAAGAACCCCGGGAGGGGAGUGAAAUAGAUCCUGAAACCGCAUGCAUACAAACAGUCGGAGCCUCGUAAGGGGUGACGGCGUACCUUUUGUAUAAUGGGUCAGCGACUUACGUUCAGUAGCAAGCUUAACCGAAUAGGGCAGGCGUAGCGAAAGCGAGUCCGAAUAGGGCGUUCAGUUGCUGGGCGUAGACCCGAAACCAAGUGAUCUAUCCAUGGCCAGGAUGAAGGUGCGGUAACACGUACUGGAGGUCCGAACCCACUAACGUUGAAAAGUUAGGGGAUGAGCUGUGGAUAGGGGUGAAAGGCUAAACAAACUUGGAAAUAGCUGGUUCUCUCCGAAAACUAUUUAGGUAGUGCCUCGUGUCUCACCUUCGGGGGUAGAGCACUGUCAUGGUUGGGGGGUCUAUUGCAGAUUACCCCGCCAUAGCAAACUCCGAAUACCGAAGAGUGCAAUCACGGGAGACAGACAUCGGGUGCUAACGUCCGGUGUCAAGAGGGAAACAACCCAGACCGCCAGCUAAGGUCCCCAAAUAUGGCUAAGUGGGAAACGAAGUGGGAAGGCUAAAACAGUCAGGAGGUUGGCUUAGAAGCAGCCACCCUUUAAAGAAAGCGUAAUAGCUCACUGAUCGAGUCGUCCUGCGCGGAAGAUGUAACGGGGCUAAGCCAUAUACCGAAGCUGCGGAUGCGAGCUAGUCUCGCAUGGUAGGAGAGCGUUCCGUAAGCCUGCGAAGGUGCAUUGUAAAGUGUGCUGGAGGUAUCGGAAGUGCGAAUGCUGACAUGAGUAGCGAUAAAGGGGGUGAAAGGCCCCCUCGCCGUAAGCCCAAGGUUUCCUACGCAACGUUCAUCGGCGUAGGGUGAGUCGGCCCCUAAGGCGAGGCAGAAAUGCGUAGCUGAUGGGAAGCAGGUCAAUAUUCCUGCACCAUUGUUAAAUGCGAUGGGGGGACGGAUCGCGGAAGGUUGUCCGGGUGUUGGAAGUCCCGGUCGCUGCAUUGGAGAAGGCGCUUAGGCAAAUCCGGGCGCGGAAUUCAAGGGUGUGGCGCGAGCUUCUUCGGAAGCGAAGCAAUCGGAAGUGGUUCCAAGAAAAGCCUCUAAGCUUCAGUUUAACAGUGACCGUACCGCAAACCGACACAGGUGGGCGAGAUGAGUAUUCUAAGGCGCUUGAGAGAACUCGGGAGAAGGAACUCGGCAAAUUGGUACCGUAACUUCGGGAUAAGGUACGCCCCUGUAGCUUGACUGGCCUGCGCCAGAAGGGUGAAGGGGUUGCAAUAAACUGGUGGCUGCGACUGUUUAAUAAAAACACAGCACUCUGCAAACACGAAAGUGGACGUAUAGGGUGUGACGCCUGCCCGGUGCCGGAAGAUUAAAUGAUGGGGUGCAAGCUCUUGAUUGAAGUCCCGGUAAACGGCGGCCGUAACUAUAACGGUCCUAAGGUAGCGAAAUUCCUUGUCGGGUAAGUUCCGACCUGCACGAAUGGCGUAACGAUGGCCACACUGUCUCCUCCCGAGACUCAGCGAAGUUGAAGUGUUUGUGAUGAUGCAAUCUCCCCGCGGCUAGACGGAAAGACCCCAUGAACCUUUACUGUAGCUUUGCAUUGGACUUUGAACCGAUCUGUGUAGGAUAGGUGGGAGGCUAUGAAACCGGAACGCUAGUUUCGGUGGAGCCGUCCUUGAAAUACCACCCUGGUUUGUUUGAGGUUCUAACCUUGGCCCGUGAUCCGGGUCGGGGACAGUGCAUGGUAGGCAGUUUGACUGGGGCGGUCUCCUCCCAAAGUGUAACGGAGGAGUACGAAGGUACGCUAGGUACGGUCGGAAAUCGUGCUGAUAGUGCAAUGGCAUAAGCGUGCUUAACUGCGAGACCGACAAGUCGAGCAGGUGCGAAAGCAGGUCAUAGUGAUCCGGUGGUUCUGUAUGGAAGGGCCAUCGCUCAACGGAUAAAAGGUACUCUGGGGAUAACAGGCUGAUACCGCCCAAGAGUUCAUAUCGACGGCGGUGUUUGGCACCUCGAUGUCGGCUCAUCUCAUCCUGGGGCUGUAGCCGGUCCCAAGGGUAUGGCUGUUCGCCAUUUAAAGAGGUACGUGAGCUGGGUUUAAAACGUCGUGAGACAGUUUGGUCCCUAUCUGCCGUGGGCGUUGGAUAUUUGAAGGGGGCUGCUCCUAGUACGAGAGGACCGGAGUGGACGAACCUCUGGUGUACCGGUUGUCACGCCAGUGGCAUCGCCGGGUAGCUAUGUUCGGAAGAGAUAACCGCUGAAAGCAUCUAAGCGGGAAACUCGCCUUAAGAUGAGAUAUCCCCGGGGACUUGAUCCCCUUGAAGGGUCGUUCGAGACCAGGACGUUGAUAGGUCAGGUGUGUAAGCGCAGUAAUGCGUUCAGCUAACUGAUACUAAUUGCCCGUAAGGCUUGAUCCU